UACGGAGGAUGCGAGCGUUAUCCGGAUUUAUUGGGUUUAAAGGGUGCGUAGGCGGGCUUUUAAGUCAGCGGUAAAAAUUCGGGGCUCAACCCCGUCCGGCCGUUGAAACUGGGGGCCUAGAGUGGGCGAGAAGUGCGCGGAAUGCGUGGUGUAGCGGUGAAAUGCAUAGAUAUCACGCAGAACUCCGAUUGCGAAGGCAGCGCACCGGCGCCCUACUGACGCUCAGGCACGAAAGCGUGGGUAUCGAACAGG
rnacentral:rRNA from 1 species